rnacentral:rRNA from 1 species
UACGGGGGGGGCAAGCGUUGUUCGGAAUUACUGGGCGUAAAGGGUUCGUAGGUGGCCAACUUAGUCAGACGUGAAAUCCCUCAGCUUAACUGGGGAACUGCGUCUGAUACUGGAUGGCUCGAGUGCAGGAGAGGAACGCGGAAUUCCAGGUGUAGCGGUGAAAUGCGUAGAUAUCUGGAGGAACACCGGUGGCGAAGGCGGCAUCCUGGACCGGUAUUGACGCUGAUGCGCGAAAGCCAGGGGAGCAAACGGG